UACGAAGGGGGCGAGCGUUGUUCGGAAUUACUGGGCGUAAAGGGCGCGUAGGCGGCGAUCCGAGUCAGACGUGAAAUUCCUGGGCUCAACCUGGGGGCUGCGUUUGAUACGUGCGGACUUGAGUGCGGAAGAGGGUCGUGGAAUUCCCAGUGUAGAGGUGAAAUUCGUAGAUAUUGGGAAGAACACCGGUGGCGAAGGCGGCGACCUGGUCCGAUACUGACGCUGAGACGCGAAAGCGUGGGGAGCAAACAGG
rnacentral:rRNA from 1 species